rnacentral:rRNA from 1 species
GGGGGAAUAUUGCACAAUGGGCGAAAGCCUGAUGCAGCGACGCCGCGUGAGGGAUGACGGCCUUCGGGUUGUAAACCUCUUUCAGUAGGGCCGAAGCGCAAGUGACGGUACCUACAGAAGAAGCACCGGCCAACUACGUGCCAGCAGCCGCUGUAAUACGUAGGGUGCGAGCGUUGUCCGGAUUUACUGGGCGUAAAGAGCUCGUAGGCGGUUUGUCACGUCGUCUGUGAAAACCCGAGGCUUAAACUCGGGCCUGCAGGCGAUACGGGCAGACUUGAGUACUGUAGGGGAGACUGGAAUUCCUGGUGUAGCGGUGGAAUGCGCAGAUAUCAGGAGGAACACCGGUGGCGAAGGCGGGUCUCUGGGCAGUAACUGACGCUGAGGAGCGAAAGCGUGGGUAGCGAACAGG